rnacentral:rRNA from 1 species
GAUGAACGCUGGCGGCGUGCUUAACACAUGCAAGUCGAAUGAGAAGUGAAGACGGAAACCUUCGGGCGGAAGGCUUUAUUUCGAGUGGCGGACGGGUGAGUAACGCGUGGGUAACCUGCCUCAUACAGGGGGAUAACAGUUGGAAACGACUGUUAAUACCGCAUAAGACCACAGCACCGCAUGGUGCGGGGGUAAAAACUCCGGUGGUAUGAGAUGGACCCGCGUUCGAUUAGCCAGUUGGCGGGGUAACGGCCCACCAAAGCGACGAUCGAUAGCCGAUCUGAGAGGAUGACCGGCCACAUUGGGACUGAGACACGGCCCAAACUCCUACGGGAGGCAGCAGUGGGGAAUAUUGCACAAUGGGGGAAACCCUGAUGCAGCGACGCCGCGUGAGUGAAGAAGUAUUUCGGUAUGUAAAGCGCUAUCAGCAGGGAAGAAAAUGACGGUACCUGAGUAAGAAGCCCCGGCUAACUACGUG